UGCCUGACGGGGUCAGCCAUGGAAUUGGGUGGGUGGCACAAGCUCAGGUUGGAAGCCCAGGUGCAGCUGACAAUGGGAGAUGUACUCAGCUUUGGUGACUCUAGAUAACCUCGGGCGAUCCCCCCACCCCCUCCAUGGCGGCAAUGACCCAUUGGAAAGUCUGGCCUAUCAACUCUCAAUGGUAGUCCCCAGGCCUACCAUGGUGACCACGAGUGGUGGGGAAUCAGAAUUCGAUUCCGGAGAGGGAGCCUGAGAAACAGCUACCACAUCCAAGGAAGGCAGAGGCGUGCAAACUACCCACUCCUGACCAGGGAAGGUAGUGAUGAAAAAUAACAAUACAGGACUCUUUCCAGGCCCUGUCAUUGGAAUGAGUCCACUUUAAAUCCUUUAACGAGGAGCCGUUAGAGGGGAAGUCUGGUGCCACCCUACCCUCCAAA
rnacentral:ncRNA from 1 species